rnacentral:rRNA from 1 species
UGGGGAAUAUUGCACAAUGGGGGGAACCCUGAUGCAGCCAUGCCGCGUGAAUGAAGAAGGCCUUCGGGUUGUAAAGUUCUUUCGGUGACGAGGAAGGUUGAUAGGUUAAUAGCCUAUCAAAUUGACGUUAAUCACAGAAGAAGCACCGGCUAACUCCGUGCCAGCAGCCGCGGUAAUACGGGGGGUGCGAGCGUUAAUCGGAAUAACUGGGCGUAAAGGGCACGCAGGCGGUGACUUAAGUGAGAUGUGAAAGCCCCGAGCUUAACUUGGGAAUUGCAUUUCAUACUGGGUCGCUAGAGUACUUUAGGGAGGGGUAGAAUUCCACGUGUAGCGGUGAAAUGCGUAGAGAUGUGGAGGAAUACCGAAGGCGAAGGCAGCCCCUUGGGAAUGUACUGACGCUCAUGUGCGAAAGCGUGGGGAGCAAACAGGAUUAGAUACCCUGGUAGUCCACGCUGUAAACGAUGAGUGCUAAGUGUUGGUCUCAUAAGAGAUCAGUGCUGCAGCUAACGCAUCAAGCACUCCGCCUGGGGAGUACGACCGCAAGGUUG